GUUCUUCUGGAUGCAGAAUAAGUGG
rnacentral:piRNA from 1 species